AUUGAACGCUGGCGGCAGGCCUAACACAUGCAAGUCGAACGGUAACAGGGAUCAGCUUGCUGAUUCGCUGACGAGUGGCGGACGGGUGAGUAAUGUCUGGGAAACUGCCUGAUGGAGGGGGAUAACUACUGGAAACGGUAGCUAAUACCGCAUAACGUCGCAAGACCAAAGAGGGGGACCUUCUGGCCUCUUGCCAUCGGGUGUGCCCAGAUGGGAUUAGCUAGUAGGUGGGGUAACGGCUCACCUAGGCGACGAUCCCUAGCUGGUCUGAGAGGAUGACCAGCCACACUGGAACUGAGACACGGUCCAGACUCCUACGGGAGGCAGCAGUGGGGAAUAUUGCACAAUGGGCGCAAGCCUGAUGCAGCCAUGCCGCGUGUAUGAAGAAGGCCUUCGGGUUGUAAAGUACUUUCAGCGGGGAGGAAGGGAGUAAAGUUAAUACCUUUGCUCAUUGACGUUACCCGCAGAAGAAGCACCGGCUAACUCCGUG
rnacentral:rRNA from 1 species